rfam:Zea mays cultivar B73 chromosome 10, whole genome shotgun sequence.
ACGACCUUACUUGAACAGGAUCUGUUCUAUAGGAUUGUACCGUUGCAUCCUUGACAAAUAAAGGAGGCAAGCACUAAAACCUGGUUGAUGAGACAUGACCUGUGGGCCAGAGCGUGAAUAACGGCCAGGAUCGGGCUCAGAUGCUUGUGUCCGGUGCUGUAGAGGAUCGUUCCUCGCUAGGGUGUCUACCCUGGCUGGGGGUGGCUCAUGGGUUGUCUGACAGGUU